rnacentral:rRNA from 1 species
AGAGUUUGAUCCUGGCUGAGAGUGAACGCUGGCGGCGUGCUUAACACAUGCAAGUCGAGCGAAGCGGCAGCUGUAGCAAUACAGUAUGUGCUUAGCGGCAGACGGGUGGGUAACACGUAGACAAUCUACCUUCUAGAGGGGGAUAGCCCGCCGAAAGGCGGGGUAAUACCGCGUAAGAUCAAAUUCCGGCAUCGGGAUCUGAUGAAACGUCCGCAAGGACGGCUAGAAGAGGAGUCUGCGGCCUAUCAGCUAGUUGGCGGGGUAAUGGCCCACCAAGGCAACGACGGGUAUCCGGCCUGAAAGGGUGAUCGGACACACUGACACUGAGACACGGGUCAGACUCCUACGGGAGGCAGCGGUGAGGAAUUUUGGACAAUGGGGAAACCCUGAUCCAGCGACGCCGCGUGAAGGAUGAAGGUCUUCGGAUCGUAAACUUCUUUUGCUUGGGAAUAACCGCCCCAUAGAAAUAUGGGGAAUGAAUGUACCAGGCGAAUAAGCCACGGCUAACUUCGUGCCAGCAGCCGCGGUAAUACGUAGGGUGCAAGCGUUAAUCGGAAUUACUGGGCGUAAAGCGUGCGCAGGCGGUUUCGCAAGUCAGAUGUGAAAUCCCCGGGCUCAACCUGGGAACUGCAUUUGAAACUACGAGGCUAGAGUGUGUCAGAGGGGGGUAGAAUUCCACGUGUAGCAGUGAAAUGCGUAGAGAUGUGGAGGAAUACCGAUGGCGAAGGCAGCCCCCUGGGAUAACACUGACGCUCAUGCACGAAAGCGUGGGGAGCAAACAGGAUUAGAUACCCUGGUAGUCCACGCCCUAAACGAUGUCAACUAGUUGUCGGGGAUUAAUUUCCUUGGUAACGCAGCUAACGCGUGAAGUUGACCGCCUGGGGAGUACGGUCGCAAGAUUAAAACUCAAAGGAAUUGACGGGGACCCGCACAAGCGGUGGAUGAUGUGGAUUAAUUCGAUGCAACGCGAAAAACCUUACCUACCCUUGACAUGUCAGGAACCCUGCUGAAAGGUGGGGGUGCUCGAAAGAGAACCUGAACACAGGUGCUGCAUGGCUGUCGUCAGCUCGUGUCGUGAGAUGUUGGGUUAAGUCCCGCAACGAGCGCAACCCUUGUCAUUAGUUGCUACGAAAGGGCACUCUAAUGAGACUGCCGGUGACAAACCGGAGGAAGGUGGGGAUGACGUCAAGUCCUCAUGGCCCUUAUGGGUAGGGCUUCACACGUCAUACAAUGGUCGGUACAGAGGGCUGCCAACCCGCGAGGGGGAGCU